CCUCAGAAGGAGAAGGGACUCCAUGGAGCAGGGAUCUCUGAGGAUUUCUUUUAUGAUUUUCUCCCCAGUUUUCUUCUACUUUCUUGGUCAUUCAGGAGUUCCUGAGUUCCCUCCAGUGAUGGAUGGGGAGUUUAACAACACACAGGGCUUCAUUCACAGUGGGAUACAUGAAGGACUAGUGCUGCUCCCAUUAGAGCUGACAAGGACACGGAUGAGCACGGAUUAAAGGAGUGAUGUGUCCUGUCUGGUUUCAGAUUCCAGAUUGCCUCUUCUCCCCUACCCUGCAUCCAAGGCACUGACGAGAACUGACUUCAUGGUUCUGAGGACCAAACAAGUCCGGGGAAGAAACAGGUGGGAGUUGAGGAAUUAAGGAAACCUUAGAAAACUGAGGUCAUGUCUGCUCUGCCUAGACAUUAAAGAUCCCGUGGUGCUUUACAUACUGGGGAAAGAUUUACCCCCGUGUCCUGAUCAAAAUGUAACCUUUUUCUCGGAGCAAAAGAGAAUACCAUACUUUGAUUAGGGGCUCUUCUUCAUCCUGGAAGUGUCUGCAUUUCACCUAUGCAGUGUGUGCCACUUGAGUCUUUGUGUAAAUAUACACAUAAGUGUACAAAGAAAGACCUGGGUAUUGCAAGGGGCAUUGAACACAAAUGGAAGAUUCCUGUGCUUGUA